UCGGUCCAGAAAUUAAUGUAAUGUUUACAAACACUUUUUUUCUACAUGAAGUUUUUGACGCAAUUUUACAAAAAAAUGAGACGAGAGACAUAUGAUUUUCAUUGGAUUUAUUGAAAGAUAUAUGUAAACAGUUUCAGAAAAGGUAUUACUUGAAGUGAUUGAAAUUCUUCUUUUGGUCAAAUUUUGGGGAAAUAUGUCACAUCUUUUCCCCCCUUUUUGCUUUAUUUUAUAACAAAAAAAUGCAGAUUGUUGCCAUGGAUACACCAAAAAGAAAUUAUAUUUUACUAUUUUAUAUACUGGAUAUGAAAUCUAUGGAAUAUUCUGAUUACAUACAUAUGCACAUAUAUGACACAAACAGUAAGCUUAAUAUUGCAAGAAGGCAAUGAAAAGGGGAUGGUAAAAUUUAUGAGGGAAAAUUUAAAUAUUUUUUCCUAACUGUUUAUUGCUACCUUAUGGCAUACUUACCAAGCUCAGAAUUGUAUAAUUUAAGACUUUUCAUACCUCAGAUCUAUUGAUAUUUAGAUUCUAAAUCAACUUCUGAAGGGAUUAAGUGUUUAAGAAUGACAAUACAUGUCAAUUUUAUUGUUUACAGUCCUUAGCAACCAAAAUUAGACAUUUUGACACAAGGCUUAUAAUUGUACUCUAUUUGCUUAACCCUUGCUUCUGAAGGAUUGCGGAGUAUGUAGUAGCCUAAGUAUUGAAUGUUUUGUAUUUUUUCUUGCGAAUAUAUCAAAUUAUUAUUUUUAUCAAGAUUUCAUGUUACAUUUUGACAUAUAUUAAAUGUAUAGUUGAUUCAGCUGUAAGAAAUUGAUUCCCCAUUACCAAGUUUUUUAAUCAAGUCUUUGGUAUACAUUAAACAUAAAGAUUAACAUUUUCAUGCUUGAAAUUGUUAAAUUUUGUACAAUUUUGCAUCAUCAGAGGUCUUAUAAAGAUUUUCAACAUUAAAAAACUGACAAAAGAGGUAUAGUUUUUAAGAUUUUGCCAAAAAUUGAGGUAGAAACAAGAUUUUACACUUUGACUUGGCACCUUUCUUUAAAUCAGUUUUUGUCGCAUUUCAGUGUCAACUGCUAACCUUCAUAAAAUAUUCAUUACUCA